GUAGGGUGCGAGCGUUAAUCGGAAUUACUGGGCGUAAAGCGUGCGCAGGCGGUUUGGUAAGACAGGCGUGAAAUCCCCGGGCUUAACCUGGGAACUGCGUUUGUGACUGCCAGGCUAGAGUACGGCAGAGGGGGGUGGAAUUCCACGUGUAGCAGUGAAAUGCGUAGAGAUGUGGAGGAACACCAAUGGCGAAGGCAGCCCCCUGGGUCGAUACUGACGCUCAUGCACGAAAGCGUGGGUAGCAAACAGGAUUAGAUACCCUGGUAGUCCACGCCCUAAACGAUGUCAACUAGGUGUUGGGUGGGUAAAACCAUUUAGUACCGUAGCUAACGCGAGAAGUUGACCGCCUGGGGAGUACGGCCGCAAGGUUA
rnacentral:rRNA from 1 species